rnacentral:rRNA from 1 species
GAACGCUAGCUACAGGCUUAACACAUGCAAGUCGAGGGGCAGCAUGGUCUUAGCUUGCUAAGGCCGAUGGCGACCGGCGCACGGGUGAGUAACACGUAUCCAACCUGCCGUCUACUCUUGGACAGCCUUCUGAAAGGAAGAUUAAUACAAGAUGGCAUCAUGAGUCCGCAUGUUCACAUGAUUAAAGGUAUUCCGGUAGACGAUGGGGAUGCGUUCCAUUAGAUAGUAGGCGGGGUAACGGCCCACCUAGUCUUCGAUGGAUAGGGGUUCUGAGAGGAAGGUCCCCCACAUUGGAACUGAGACACGGUCCAAACUCCUACGGGAGGCAGCAGUGAGGAAUAUUGGUCAAUGGGCGAGAGCCUGAACCAGCCAAGUAGCGUGAAGGAUGACUGCCCUAUGGGUUGUAAACUUCUUUUAUAAAGGAAUAAAGUCGGGUAUGGAUACCCGUUUGCAUGUACUUUAUGAAUAAGGAUCGGCUAACUCCGUGCCAGCAGCCGCGGUAAUACGGAGGAUCCGAGCGUUAUCCGGAUUUAUUGGGUUUAAAGGGAGCGUAGAUGGAUGUUUAAGUCAGUUGUGAAAGUUUGCGGCUCAACCGUAAAAUUGCAGUUGAUACUGGAUAUCUUGAGUGCAGUUGAGGCAGGCGGAAUUCGUGGUGUAGCGGUGAAAUGCUUAGAUAUCACGAAGAACUCCGAUUGCGAAGGCAGCCUGCUAAGCUGCAACUGACAUUGAGGCUCGAAAGUGUGGGUAUCAAACAGGAUUAGAUACCCUGGUAGUCCACACGGUAAACGAUGAAUACUCGCUGUUUGCGAUAUACAGCAAGCGGCCAAGCGAAAGCGUUAAGUAUUCCACCUGGGGAGUACGCCGGCAACGGUGAAACUCAAAGGAAUUGACGGGGGCCCGCACAAGCGGAGGAACAUGUGGUUUAAUUCGAUGAUACGCGAGGAACCUUACCCGGGCUUAAAUUGCAGAUGAAUUACGGUGAAAGCCGUAAGCCGCAAGGCAUCUGUGAAGGUGCUGCAUGGUUGUCGUCAGCUCGUGCCGUGAGGUGUCGGCUUAAGUGCCAUAACGAGCGCAACCCUUGUUGUCAGUUACUAACAGGUUCCGCUGAGGACUCUGACAAGACUGCCAUCGUAAGAUGUGAGGAAGGUGGGGACGACGUCAAAUCAGCACGGCCCUUACGUCCGGGGCUACACACGUGUUACAAUGGGGGGUACAGAGGGCCGCUACCACGCGAGUGGAUGCCAAUCCCCAAAACCUCUCUCAGUUCGGACUGGAGUCUGCAACCCGACUCCACGAAGCUGGAUUCGCUAGUAAUCGCGCAUCAGCCACGGCGCGGUGAAUACGUUCCCGGGCCUUGUACACACCGCCCGUCAAGCCAUGGGAGCCGGGGGUACCUGAAGUGCGUAACCGCGAGGAGCGCCCUAGGGUAAAACUGGUGACUGGGGCUAAGU